rnacentral:tRNA from 1 species
GACAACAUACCCGAGCGGUCAAAGGGGGGAGAUUCAAGAUCUCCUGUUUCGGCUUCGUGGGUUCGAAUCCCACUGUUGUCA